AAAAAAUUAGUUAAUAUAAUAUAACAUUAAAAUGUCAUUUUAAAGUAAUUAAAUUUAAUAUUUUUUU
rnacentral:tRNA from 1 species